AGAGAGCAUAACCUGGAGGUUAGCGGGGCCACCUUUGGAGUCAAAAUCGGUUAGUCUGAAGCCCGAGUCUCCUGACUCCCUGCCAAGUGGUCUUGGGCAAAGCCCCCUCUCUGCGCCUGCACUGCCUCUCUGCCUUCUGUGAGACGGGGCUCUGGUGGCACGGGCCUGCCUCCCAGUGUGGUCCUGAGGCUUCGAUGAGCAGAUGUACCCAUGUUACCCAGCAUGGCGCCAGGCACCUGGAAGGCACUCGUAGAUGUCAGCUGCUGUUGCUCCCCUGUAGGGGGAGGAACUUCAGGAUUUAGAACCCAUUUUCCUGGUUUAGAAUCCCCACCUCGCUCCUGCUUGUGGAUCAGGAACCUUUGGGUGUCACCGUCACAAUGGACUCACCUGUAAAACUAGGCUUGCUCUGAUUUCCAUGACUGGCUGUGACAAUGGCUGUGAGCAUACACGUGAGACCCUUUGUAAGCAGAGCAGCAGUGAGUGCUGGUGGUUAUCACAGAAGCAGCAUUUGUUACCUGUGCACAGAUGGAUUGGGGUCUGGGGUUUGACGGUCACGUGACAGGCGUGGCCCCUGUCCUCGGAGCCUGAGGACUGGCGAGUGUCAGGCGUGGAGUUUCCUCACCCUUACUUUGGUGCCAUGCUAGACUCCGAAAGGAUGUCUGCAUUCCCAUUGCUGCUCCAUUGUACAGAUGAGGAAACUGAGGCCCAGAAAGGUAAAACCACUUACUCAUGGCCAUGAAGCCAGUAAGUGAUCAGAUUGGGUUUUGAACCCGGACCCAUCUGACUCCAAAGCCUUUGCCUUCUCCACCAGAUGUUACAGAGCUUGGACCCCAGUGCUUGGCAAUGAAUUAUAAAGUGAUAACUGUGUUUCUAACCAAAUUCAGUGGUUGAGAUUUAAAAAUUCACACACAUACUUCUCAGACCAAAAAAUCCUGAAAUUACUUCUUUGGAAUCACGGGAGUGUAUGUUUUUAGAAAAACCGUGCUGAUCCCUAUUGAAAAAUGUCCACUUUUUGGCUGUGACUUUCUUUUCAUCAGAGGCAGUGGCGAGCAAGGAGUGUAUCCCCAUGGACCAGUCUGUCGAACACUUACUGCCCAGCCUUUUAAGCCUCAUAUCAGAUCCUGCGCCAAACGUGAGGGUUUUGCUUGCCAAAGCUCUGAGGCCGAUACUAUUGGAAAAAGGCGUAUUUUAGAAAUGCUGGUAACCCUCAUCUUGGAGUUGUUGAAGAAACUGUCCUGGCUCUGCAGUCCGACCAGAACCAAGAUCUUGCCUUUUUUGCUGCCCUAGAACCAAAGCGGGGGAACGUUACAGACCUCAGCAUGCUGCAAGAACAGAACUAACCCAUCUGUGAUCACUGCAAGCCGGUCACUUCGAGCUUGGCAUGUGCUGCUUACCGUACCUUGAAGGGGAGCUGAUGGUGUCAUACCUGCCUGGGGAGGAAAAGUUUCUGAGACUUUGAUGUUGUGUCCUCCAGGACCCCUUUCCCAUCUGUGGUCACAGGGACUGCUCCUGAGACAGGCACUAGUUCCAGGUGACCCGGCAGGCACUGUGCUUCUGUACCCCUACAUGCCUGAUCAGGAAGUCUGUGCAGUCUGUAGAACCGGCUGGCUCCCUCCGUGACAUCAGACUGUCUGGCAGCAGUUUGUUUUGUCUAUUACUGAUGAUAUUAUUUGACCCCCAGUUACCUCCUCUCCAAAAAUAAAGUACUUUAUUAGAA